rnacentral:rRNA from 1 species
GGCAUCGGGCCGCCAUCAAAGAUUCAUCGCCGCGGGACGGGCCGUCGUGGUAUUAGGUAGUUGGCGGGGUGACGGCCCACCAAGCCUGCGAUGCCUACCGGGCGUGCGAGCGUGGCCCGGCACACUGGGACUGAGGCACUGCCCAGACUCCUACGGGAGGCUGCAGUCGAGAAUCUUCGGCAAUGGGCGCAAGCCUGACCGAGCGACGCCGCGUGGAGGACGAAGGCCUUCGGGUUGUAAACUCCUGUCGAGGGGGAGGAAGGCGCAAGCUUGACCGAUCCCUGGAGGAAGCACGGGCUAAGUUCGUGCCAGCAGCCGCGGUAAGACGAACCGUGCGAACGUUAUUCGGAAUCACUGGGCUUAAA